rnacentral:rRNA from 1 species
AACUUUCAACAACGGAUCUCUUGGCUCUCGCAUCGAUGAAGAACGCAGCGAAAUGCGAUAAGUAAUGUGAAUUGCAGAAUUCAGUGAAUCAUCGAAUCUUUGAACGCACCUUGCGCCCUUUGGUAUCCCGAAGGGCAUGCCUGUUUGAGUGUCAUG